CAAGUCGAACUAUAGAUGAGGAGCUUGCUCUUCAAAUCGAGUGGCGAAUGGGUGAGUAACGCGUGAGGAACCUGCCUCAAAGAGGGGGACAACAGUUGGAAACGACUGCUAAUACCGCAUAAGCCCACGGCUCGGCAUCGAGCAGAGGGAAAAGGAGAGAUCCGCUUUGAGAUGGCCUCGCGUCCGAUUAGCUAGUUGGUGAGGUAACGGCCCACCAAGGCGACGAUCGGUAGCCGGACUGAGAGGUUGAACGGCCACAUUGGGACUGAGACACGGCCCAGACUCCUACGGGAGGCAGCAGUGGGGAAUAUUGCACAAUGGGGGAAACCCUGAUGCAGCGACGCCGCGUGGAGGAAGAAGGUCUUCGGAUUGUAAACUCCUGUUGUUGAGGAAGAUAAUGACGGUACUCAACAAGGAAGUGACGGCUAACUACGUGCCAGCAGCCGCGGUAAAACGUAGGUCACAAGCGUUGUCCGGAAUUACUGGGUGUAAAGGGAGCGCAGGCGGGAGAACAAGUUGGAAGUGAAAUCCAUGGGCUCAACCCAUGAACUGCUUUCAAAACUGUUUUUCUUGAGUAGUGCAGAGGUAGGCGGAAUUCCCGGUGUAGCGGUGGAAUGCGUAGAUAUCGGGAGGAACACCAGUGGCGAAGGCGGCCUACUGGGCACCAACUGACGCUGAGGCUCGAAAGUGUGGGUAGCAAACAGGAUUAGAUACCCUGGUAGUCCACACCGUAAACGAUGAUUACUAGGUGUUGGAGGAUUGACCCCUUCAGUGCCGCAGUUAACACAAUAAGUAAUCCACCUGGGGAGUACGACCGCAAGGUUGAAACUCAAAGGAAUUGACGGGGGCCCGCACAAGCAGUGGAGUAUGUGGUUUAAUUCGACGCAACGCGAAGAACCUUACCAAGUCUUGACAUCCCUUGACGAACAUAGAAAUAUGUUUUCUCUUCGGAGCAAGGAGACAGGUGGUGCAUGGUUGUCGUCAGCUCGUGUCGUGAGAUGUUGGGUUAAGUCCCGCAACGAGCGCAACCCUUAUGGUCAGUUACUACGCAAGAGGACUCUGGCCAGACUGCCGUUGACAAAACGGAGGAAGGUGGGGAUGACGUCAAAUCAUCAUGCCCUUUAUGACUUGGGCUACACACGUACUACAAUGGCGUUAAACAAAGAGAAGCAAGACCGCGAGGUGGAGCAAAACUCAGAAACAACGUCCCAGUUCGGACUGCAGGCUGCAACUCGCCUGCACGAAGUCGGAAUUGCUAGUAAUCGUGGAUCAGCAUGCCACGGUGAAUACGUUCCCGGGCCUUGCACACACCGCCCG
rnacentral:rRNA from 1 species